GCGCUGGUGGUGCAAUGGGCUAGCACAAUAGUCGGAAAGCAAAGGGUGUGGGUUCGAGUCACCCCUGGCGCA
rnacentral:tRNA from 1 species